GUCCCACGGUGCUACGUGUACGCCACCAUGAGCGCCGCCACCCAAGAGGCGCGGCAGGAGGCGGAGGCUGUUAUGUUCGGUGCCAUCGACAGCCUGCUCGCCAAGAUAGGGGUGAGGGCCAGGGACAUCGGCGUCGUGGUCGUCAACUGCAGCCUCUUCAACUCGACGCUGUCACUGUUCACCAUGGUCGUCAACCACUAUAAGCUCCGCGGUAACGUCGCUAGCUACAACCUCGGCAGCAUGGGAUGCAGCGCCGGGCUCAUCUCCAUCAACCUGGCCAAGCAGCUACUCCAGGUCCACCGGAACUCGUACGCGCUGGUGGCGAGCAUGGAGAGCAUCAUGAUCAACUGGUACUGGGGCAACUACUGCUCCAUGCUCAUGUCCAACUGCCUCUUCCGCAUAGGCGAUGCGGCAAUCCUCCUCAGCAACCGCGCCGCCGACAAGCGCUGCUCGAAAUACCAGCUCGUGCACACCGUGCGCACGCACCACGACAUCGACGACCACGCCUACCGCUGCAUGUUCCAGGAGGAGGAUAAGGCUAGCCUGGUCGGUGUCGCGCUCUCCAAUGACCUCAUGGCCAUCGCCGGCUCGGCCCUCAAGACCAACAUCACCACGCUCGGCCCCCUCGUUCUCCCCAUGUCCGAGCAGAUCCUUUUCCUCAUAUCUCUCAUCGGCAAGAAGAUCUUUAGUCUCAAGAUGAAGCCCCACAUUCCGGACUUCAAGAUGGACUUCGAGCACUUCUGCAUCCAUGCUGGCGGCAGGGCGGUGCUGGACACCAUCGAGAAGAACCUGGAGCUCAGUGACUGGCACAUGGACCCUACGAAGAUGACAUUAAACCGGUGGGGGAACACGUCGAGCAGCCUGCUCAGGUACGAGCUUGCAUACACGGAGGCCAAGGGACGCGUCCGACGCGGGCACCGUGCAUGGCAGAUCGCCUUCGGGUCAGGGUUCAAGUGUAACAACGCGGUGUGGCGCGCGCUCAAGGACAUUCACCCGUCAAAGGAAGCCCGCAACAACCCAUGGAUUGAGGAGAUCCACCGGUGCCCAGUUGAGGUGCCCAAGGUGGAGAGCGUCGUUUCAUCGCCAUGA
rnacentral:rRNA from 1 species